rnacentral:rRNA from 1 species
AUUGAACGCUGGCGGCAGGCUUGACACAUGCAAGUCGAGCGGGGAAGGUUGCUUCGGUAACUAACCUAGCGGCGGACGGGUGAGUAAUGCUUAGGAAUCUGCCUAUUAGUGGGGGACAACAUUCCGAAAGGGAUGCUAAUACCGCAUACGUCCUACGGGAGAAAGCAGGGGAUCAUUUGACCUUGCGCUAAUAGAUGAGCCUAAGUCGGAUUAGCUAGUUGGUGGGGUAAAGGCCUACCAAGGCGACGAUCUGUAGCGGGUCUGAGAGGAUGAUCCGACACACUGGGACUGAGACACGGCCCAGACUCCUACGGGAGGCAGCAGUGGAGAAUAUUGGACAAUGGGGGGAACCCUGAUCCAGCCAUGCCGCGUGUGUGAAGAAGGCCUUUUGGUUGUAAAGCACUUUAAGCGAGGAGGAGGCUUACCUGGUUAAUACCUGGGAUAAGUGGACGUUACUCGCAGAAUAAGCACCGGCUAACUCUGUGCCAGCCGCCGCCGUAA